GGAGGUGGAUUGGGCCUGGUGGCUCAGCUGGUCUUCAAAACCAGUCGGCCGGGUUAAACCUCGGUUGGUGGGUUCGAUUCCCACGCACCUCC
rnacentral:tRNA from 1 species